rnacentral:lncRNA from 1 species
UCUUCUAAAGCUCGACGACACCUCAAUUUAUGAACUCCCAGACAAGGUGGUAGCGGCAUAGAAUUUGCUUGGUAAGCUAAUGGGACUAUGACUCCUUGGCUUGAGCUAUGGCUCCAGUGUUGUACAAUACAGCAGGACUAUCAUUGGAGGGUGCCACUCCUAGCUUGCCAAUGAAUGUUUGUAAUCACACAACUUUCUAGC